UGGGGAAUAUUGCACAAUGGGCGCAAGCCUGAUGCAGCGACGCCGCGUGAGGGAUGGAGGCCUUCGGGUUGUAAACCUCUUUCGCCAGUGAAGCAGGCCAUCUUCUUUGUGGGGUGGUUGACGGUAGCUGGAUAAGAAGCGCCGGCUAACUACGUGCCAGCAGCCGCGGUAAUACGUAGGGCGCGAGCGUUGUCCGGAAUUAUUGGGCUUAAAGAGCUCGUAGGCGGCUGGUCGCGUCUGUCGUGAAAUCCCCUGGCUUAAAUGGGGGCUUGCGGUGGGUAAGGGCCGGCUUGAGUGCGGUAGGGGAGACUGGAAUUCCUGGUGUAGCGGUGGAAUGCGCAGAUAUCAGGAGGAACACCGGUGGCGAAGGCGGGUCUCUGGGCCGUUACUGACGCUGAGGAGCGAAAGCGUGGGGAGCGAACAGG
rnacentral:rRNA from 1 species